UGAGCAACCUGCCCCUGGCUCUGGGAUAACUCCGGGAAACCGGAGCUAAUACCGGAUACGAGACCGAUUGGCAUCUUUACGGUCUGGAAAGUUUUUCGGCAAGGGAUGGGGUCGCGGCCUAUCAGCUUGUUGGUGGGGUAAUGGCCCACCAAGGCGACGACGGGUAGCCGGCCUGAGAGGGCGACCGGCCACACUGGGACUGAGACACGGCCCAGACUCCUACGGGAGGCA
rnacentral:rRNA from 1 species